rnacentral:rRNA from 1 species
UACGUAGGGUGCAGGCGUUAAUCGGAAUUACUGGGCGUAAAGCGUGCGCAGGCGGUUUCUUAAGUCAGAUGUGAAAGCCCCGGGCUUAACCUGGGAACUGCGUUUGAAGCUGGGAGACUCGAGUGUGGCAGAGGGGGGUGGAAUUCCACGUGUAGCAGUGAAAUGCGUAGAUAUGUGGAGGAACACCGAUGGCGAAGGCAGCCCCCUGGGUCAACACUGACGCUCAUGCACGAAAGCGUGGGGAGCAAACAGG